rnacentral:lncRNA from 1 species
AUGGGGGUGAAAUCGGGUGCCCGGCUUAAGUGCAUCUACACUAUUGCACGUAGCAUGGGCAACAAACAAGAUGAGCUGGAAGCCAUUGUGCAGCAGGACAGCUAUGAUGUAAUCGCCAUCACAGAAACAUGGUGGGAUGAUGGUCAUAGCUGGAAUGCUGUGAUGGAUGGCUAUAAGCUCUUCAGGAGGGAUAGGCAAGGAAGGAGAGGUGGGGGUGUGGCUCUAUAUGUUAGGGAGUGUUUUGAUUGUAUGGAAAUAACUGUAUCAUUGCUGCAAUCUGAGUGUUUAUGGGUAAAGAUGGAGGGCAAGGCUAGCAAGGGAGAUCUGGUGCUGGGAUAUAGACCACCCAACCAGGAUGAGGAGGCAGACGAGGUAUUCUAUAAGCAGCUGGCUGAAGUCUCUCGAUCGCCAGCCCUUGUUCUGGUUGGGGACUUCAACCUACCGGACAUCUGCUGGGAAUACAACACAGCCGAGAGCAGGCAGGCUAGGAGGUUCCUUGAGUGUAUGGAAGAUAACUUCCUGACACAACUAGUAGGUGAGCCAACCAGGGGAGGUGCCUCACUAGACCUGCUGCUCACAAAUAGAGAGGGACUAGUGGGAGAUGUGGUGGUCGGAGGCCGUCUUGGGCUUAGCGACCAUGAAAUGGUCAAGUUUUCAAUUAUUAGAGAGGUAAGGAAAGGGACUAGCAAAACCUCAACCUUGGACUUCCGGCGGGCAGACUUCAGCCUUUUCAGAUCACUGGUUGGAAAAGUCCCAUGGGAGGAAUCCCUGAAGGGCAAAGGUGUUCAGGAAGGCUGGGUGUUUUUCAAGGAGGAAGUCUUAAAAGCCCAAGCCCAGGCCAUCCCUACACGCUGUAAAGCGAGCCGUCGGGGGAAAAGGCCAGCCUGGCUGAGCAAAGAGAUAGCAUCACAGCUUAGAGAAAAAAGGAGAAUUUAUGACCUUUGGAAAAAGGGGCAGGCCACGCAGGAAGAUUACAANNNNNNNNNNNNNNNNNNNNNNNNNNNNNNNUCCACGAGAAAGAAAAACAGUAAAAAAAAAAAAAAGGAAAAAAACAACAAAAAACCAACAAACCAAAACUCAGAUCACAAAAGGCUUGGCUGCUGCAAAUGUGCCUGGAGUAGGAAGAGUAGCACCAGCUGA